rnacentral:lncRNA from 1 species
AAAACUGUAAUCCUUUGCUGCUGAUUUUUGUUUUGGCGAUGUUUUAGAGCCAACUAAGCAAUCUGAAUUCCAGCUGCUAGGUUCAUCUCUCCCCCCAUUUCAAGACAUGUAUGCAUUGAAACGUACAUAGAGAAUAAGAAGGUAACGAUGAUGACAUAGAUAAUAGAGUGGAAGGAAUAUGACCUUUAAUUCAGAAAUAUGUAAAUAAAAUAUCAUAGAUUACUCAUUAAUUACAUGCUACUUUUGCAUAAAAAUGACAAGCUACACUAAAUAUAACUCCUGAAACCCAACAGCAAUGACAAAUUCUUCAUUUCUAAACUCUAAUAAAAAAGCUGCUCGUCUUUCACAGAGGUUAUCAAACAUGGAUUUCUCACAGAACUGCAUGCUUUACAUAGGUCAUGGUACAGAUUUGCUAAAGUUAAGUAAAGUAAAGUACUCGUGUGAUCCAAAUAACAAGCCGUAAAACUAUUAAUGUUGUUUUCCUUCAACAUAUAAGUCAAUUUUUCUUAUUAGAAGGAAACAAAGUAUCCUCCAUGUCCGUUAUAAGUUCAUAAAGACUAACCCUUUUGGGUUUGUCUCUAAGGUUCUAAGUUCGAACCCAAGUUCUCUCUUUAGGAGUGCAAUGGUAAAGCAAUACACGUACUUCUAAGGUUCUAAUAGUCUCCAAACAUGACUGAAAAAAAUAAGUACCAUGCAUGCAAGGCAAGAUUUUUCCAAGUUCACUAGUAGGAGUAGCCAAUACACGUACUCCUUUUCCCGCCAUAGUCAAAAUCCCCACCAUAUUCUUCAAAUUAGACUGCCAUUAAUUCAUGAAAUGAAAUCAAAUUCCCAUAAUUUU